CAGCAGGAGACGGUCACGCUGCUGAUUCGAAGCCGUCGGCCCGGCUACGCGCCCAUUCACGUACACGAGAGGCGGCAUGAGCAGGUUUCUCAGCACUGUUUUCGGCAAGUCGGUGGCAGCACGGACAUCAGCAAAGAUAGCCGAGCCCCCUGCCGCUCUUUCAUACGCGCUCGCCUCGUUUCGCUGGCACAUGGACACGCGCCCACCGGCAAAGUUUAUUGCCGUUCACGAUUACCUCGGCAGCUGCGCAUCGUUGCAGCAGUUGCUAAACGAGUCCAUCGCAGAUCUCCCGCUGUCGCGGCUAACGCCGACAGAGCCGCUAGAGGUGUACUGCGCCGACCUCCGCGGUCACAACUUCUCUGAGGCGGCCCCGAUGACAUCCGAUUCCGCCUAUCUGCUCGCCUGCGCUGCGGACAUCAUUAAGAUGCAGGAAGACAUUCUCCGCUCUGAAGCAGGGCUGCUAGGUCUUGGUUUUGGUUCUCUCGUUGCCUCCUGUGCCGCCCUGCAUGCGCCCGACGCCUUCUCCUCCCUCACCCUCUUCGUGAGGGAGAUAGCGCAGCUGCAGCGGUGCCUGCCUUCCUCUUACCCGGUCGGUGAGCUUCUGCGACGCGCGCCAGCCAACGCCACAGGGCUGGCAGAGCUAAAUAGCUACCUGCGGGAUCGAAUACCCGAUCCGGCAGAACGGGCUGCCCUUCUCGCCGCCGUGGAGGUGCGACGUGGCCUGGCCCGGUUCCGAUUCAGUAAUGAUCUACUUCAGUACACCGAGCCGUUUGUGCUUAAUUCACCGGCGGGCAGCACGUUCACGAAGCCCACGGUCGUGUACCUGUGCGGCAAAGAUGGCGCCAUCUCUCCGGAAGAGGAGGCCCGAGUGCGCGCACGCUUCCCUGCGGUGAAGUUUGUCAAGCUCGACACGCAGGGGGAGACGCUGACGUCUCCCGAAGUGCGUCUUGUUCCGCUGUUUCUUCAGUCUUGCGGCAUGCUUGGCGAGAUCAACGAGGCGAACAUGGAGCGAUGAAGUGCCGUGUGCAGUGAUGCAGGAGAGAUGGUGCACUCGUAUGCACGCGCGCGCGAGAGAAAGAGAAUCUGUGCAACGCGUAACUUUCGGCCAGCAUGCAAAAUCGUGAAUGCGUAUGCCGUUUGAGUAUUCGUUCUUGGGUGGUGGCGCAAGCCGGAGGCAUAUACAGGGAGAGAGAAACAGAGAGCCUACGAGGUUGUAUGUGUGUCUGCAGGGGCGGGUAAGUGCUGGAGCUGGACUCCGGCUAGGGUGGGCGUGGUGAUGACCCUGUGCGACUCUUGUGUCACUCUGCCGUCGCCGUGUACUUUCAGUGGCGUAUGUGUUGCUAAAGUAACGUACAACAACCGAACGAAAA
rnacentral:misc_RNA from 1 species